rnacentral:rRNA from 1 species
UUGGAAGUAUAGCCUGCCCCCUGAGUUUUUAAAUGGCCGCGGUAGCUUGACCGUGCAAAGGUAGCAUAAUAAUUAGUUUUUUAAUUGGUAGCUGGAAUGAAAGGCUGGACGAGGGAAUAACUGUCUCUGUUUAAUUUAAUUAGAAUUUUAUUUUUAAGUAAAAAAGCUUAAAUAAUUUUGAAAGACGAGAAGACCCUAUAGAAUUUUAUAUUUAUUUUAAUAUUAGGAUGUGAAGAAUAAGUAGUUUUGAUAUUAUUAUAAAUAUUUUGUUGGGGUGACAGAAAAAUUUAAGGAACUUUUUUUAUAUUUAUCCAUUAAUAUAUGAGUAAAUGAUCCAUUAUUUAUGAUUAUAAGAUUAAAUUACCUUAGGGAUAACAGCGUAAUCUUUUUUAAGAGUUCUUAUCGAAAAAAGGGUUUGCGACCUCGAUGUUGGAUUAAAAUUAAGUUUUGGUGUAGGAGCUGAAAUGUUAGGUCUGUUCGACCUUUAAAAUUUUACA